AACGCCGUAUGGAACCCACUUAGGUGGCACCAAUCUUGACUUCCAGAUGGAACAGUACAUCUAUAUCCUCCAGGAAUAUUGGCCAGAGGGCUGUGCUGAAGUUUGCUGCUGCCACUGGAGCCACUCCAAUUGCUGGCCGCUUCACUCCUGGAACCUUCACUGACCACCAGCCUCUCACGGAGGCAUCUUAUGUUAACCUACCAUGAGAAAAAAAAAA
rnacentral:lncRNA from 1 species